GUGAACUUUGGACAAUAUGUUGCAUAUGCCUCAGUUGUGUGAGAUUACAGAACAGGAGAGAGAAGACAUAUCAGGUGUUGGUGAUAACAAUGUACAUGUUACUCCGGUUGGUGUUACUGUGAGAGGUUCACAAGGUAUGGCCACUGGGGUGGGGCGGGGGGCUCAGUUGGCCAGUAUGGGGGAACAUAGUGCUAGAGCCAGUCCUCUUAGAUACCCAGCAGUCGACACUAGAGUGCCAAGUGUCAGUAGUAGCCAACCAGAGCAUGUUAGCAGUAGCCAACCAGGCAACGAUGACAGUGAAGAGUCCCAGAAGGCCAUAGGGGGUGAAAAUGAGAACCGAACCCAAUUGCAAGCCCUAGCAGAUUAGUCAAACAACUGGGCAGUGAAAUAGGUAAUCAAGUUGCCGCUAGUCUAGCAGGGGCUGGUCCAAGCACUUCCCCUCCCCAACCAAUAGUAGAAAUACCUGAUUGGUCAAAGGUCAACCUAAUUCUGAAGUCAGACGUCAGAGAACCACCCCACUUCCGGGGUGAUAGCACAGACCGGUGCACAGUGACUGAAUGGCAAGAACUUA
rnacentral:lncRNA from 1 species